GACGAACGCUGGCGGCGUGCUUAACACAUGCAAGUCGAACGGAAAGGCCCUGCUUUUGUGGGGUGCUCGAGUGGCGAACGGGUGAGUAACACGUGAGUAACCUGCCCUUGACUUUGGGAUAACUUCAGGAAACUGGGGCUAAUACCGGAUAGGAGCUCCUGCUGCAUGGUGGGGGUUGGAAAGUUUCGGCGGUUGGGGAUGGACUCGCGGCUUAUCAGCUUGUUGGUGGGGUAGUGGCUUACCAAGGCUUUGACGGGUAGCCGGCCUGAGAGGGUGACCGGCCACAAUGGGACUGAGAAACGGCCCAGACUCCGACGGGGGGCAGGAGUGGGGAAUAUUGCACAAUGGGCGGAAGCCUGAUGCAGCAACGCCGCGUGCGGGAUGACGGCCUUCGGGUUGUAAACCGCUUUCGCCUGUGACGAAGCGUGAGUGACGGUAAUGGGUAAAGAAGCACCGGCUAACUACGUG
rnacentral:rRNA from 1 species